AUCCGUUGAUAUAGGAAGACUUUCGAUGGCGAAGGCAUUUACCGAUUUGGUUCUGACGCUAGGUACUAAAGCUUGGGUAGAAAGAGGAUUAGAGACCUCGUAGUCCAUGCCUUAAACAAUGAGUGUUCAACGUCUUAUAAUACUCUGGACCACCUUGCAGUGGUAUCCUUCGAGGAUUAUUGGGGGUUUGAAGUUAACGCGCGAAACACCGCCUGGGGAAUGUGGCCGCAAGGUUAAACUCAAAGGAAUUGACGGAGGCUUAUACAAAGAGUGGAGCAUGUGGUUUAAUUCGAGA
rnacentral:rRNA from 1 species